AGAGUUUGAUCAUGGCUCAGAUUGAACGCUGGCGGCAGGCCUAACACAUGCAAGUCGAGCGGAAACGACACUAACAAUCCUUCGGGUGCGUUAAUGGGCGUCGAGCGGCGGACGGGUGAAUAAUGCCUAGGAAAUUGCCUUGAUGUGGGGGAUAACCAUUGGAAACGAUGGCUAAUACCGCAUAAUGCCUACGGGCCAAAGAGGGGGACCUUCGGGCCUCUCGCGUCAAGAUAUGCCUAGGUGGGAUUAGCUAGUUGGUGAGGUAAUGGCUCACCAAGGCGACGAUCCCUAGCUGGUCUGAGAGGAUGAUCAGCCACACUGGAACUGAGACACGGUCCAGACUCCUACGGGAGGCAGCAGUGGGGAAUAUUGCACAAUGGGCGAAAGCCUGAUGCAGCCAUGCCGCGUGUAUGAAGAAGGCCUUCGGGUUGUAAAGUACUUUCAGUUGUGAGGAAGGGGGUAGCGUUAAUAGCGCUAUCUCUUGACGUUAGCAACAGAAGAAGCACCGGCUAACUCCGUGCCAGCAGCCGCGGUAAUACGGAGGGUGCGAGCGUUAAUCGGAGUUACUGGGCGUAAAGCGCAUGCAGGUGGUUCAUUAAGUCAGAUGUGAAAGCCCGGGGCUCAACCUCGGAACUGCAUUUGAAACUGGUGAACUAGAGUACUGUAGAGGGGGGUAGAAUUUCA
rnacentral:rRNA from 1 species